GAUGAACGCUGGCGGCGUGCCUAAUACAUGCAAGUCGAGCGAACGGACGAGAAGCUUGCUUCUCUGAUGUUAGCGGCGGACGGGUGAGUAACACGUGGAUAACCUACCUAUAAGACUGGGAUAACUUCGGGAAACCGUAGCUAAUACCGGAUAAUAUUUUGAACCGCAUGGUUCAAAAGUGAAAUACGGUCUUGCUGUCACUUAUAGAUGGAUCCGCGCUGCAUUAGCUAGUUGGUAAGGUAACGGCUUACCAAGGCAACGAUGCAUAGCCGACAUGAGAGGGGGAUCGGCCACACUGGAACUGAGCCACGGUCAAGACUCCUACGGGAGGCAGCAGUAGGGAAUCUUCCGCAAUGGGCGAAAGCAUGACGGAGCAACGCCGCGUGAGGGAUGAAGGUCUUCGGAUCGUAAAACUCUGUUAUUAGGGAAGAACAUAUGUGUAAUUAACUGUGCACAGCGUGACGGUACCUAAUCAGAAAGCCACGGCUAACUACGUG
rnacentral:rRNA from 1 species